CCAGACUCCUACGGGAGGCAGCAGUGGGGAAUAUUGCACAAUGGGGGAAACCCUGAUGCAGCGACGCCGCGUGGGCGAGGAAGUAUUUCGGUAUGUAAAGCCCUAUCAGCAGGGAAGAAGAGAUGACGGUACCUGAGUAAGAAGCACCGGCUAAAUACGUGCCAGCAGCCGCGGUAAUACGUAUGGUGCAAGCGUUAUCCGGAUUUACUGGGUGUAAAGGGAGCGCAGGCGGCACGGCAAGCCUGAUGUGAAAGCCCGCGGCCCAACCGCGGGACUGCAUUGGGAACUACCGGGCUGGAGUGCCGGAGAGGUAGGCGGAAUUCCUAGUGUAGCGGUGAAAUGCGUAGAUAUUAGGAGGAACACCAGUGGCGAAGGCGGCCUGCUGGACGACAACUGACGGUGAGGCGCGAAAGCGUGGGGAGCAAACAGGAUUAGAUACCCGGGUAA
rnacentral:rRNA from 1 species